UGUAGUUUGGCCUGAAAAGCGAUCCAAAUCAAAUAAAUAUAUUGCAAGAAGGAAAAAGAAGGCCAUAUGUUGGAUCUUGAAAACAAUAAAUAAGAAAGAAGAAUUUCAUUAUUCAGUUGGCCUGUAACUUGCUUAUGCAUGUACACGCAAGCACCACACACAGUGGACAUGAAAUACAUAUACAUGCACCAUAGAAAAUAUUGCUGAAAAAGUCCUUACCAG
rnacentral:misc_RNA from 1 species